CAUAUAAUUAUUGACCUUCUUUCCUCGACUAUUGUCUUCCUUUCUGGGGUCGAAGCAAUGAUCUAAUAUUUUUACAAAUCUUGGUCGAAAUAUACUUGAUCGAAGUACAAAAGCUUGGUCGGAAUAUACUCUAGUUAAUUCGACCCCUUUUACUAAAUUUAAACUUGGUGAGGCUUUUGAGCCUUCUAUAAUCACAUUUAUUGGCUUUUAAUCACAACCAAUUUCUCUCCCUACUGGCAUCGAAGAGUACUGAAUUUUCUUCAAGUGAUAUCCUUGUUUUCGAAUGCUUUGCAUCAUCAUAUUUAACACCUCAACAGCCUUCGACCAUGAUAGUAUACUAACACAACCAUUUUAUAUUUACUAUAUAUGUAUCACAUUUGAAGCACCAUAAUUCCAAAGCUUCUAUAAUUUCGACCCCAAGACAAUGUCAAAGUUCGACCAAAAUGUCAAUUUCUAAAAUAUACUUUCAAUGUAAUUGACAAUAGUUCAAUGUCAAUUCCUCGUUGCUUUUCAAAGCCUUAAUAUCUUAAUAAUAAAAGUCCAUUGUCCAGUACAUUGAACAUUAUAUAUUCUAACUUUGAGUCAAAAUGGAUUUUGGAUUAGAAAGACCAAAAUGUACAUUGCAGAGUGUCUCUUGACUAUAACAAUAUGCUUGAACACCGUUAAUAUAUUCUUCGACCACAAAGGAAAACUUAAAUAUUAAGGUCGAAAUAUUAAUAUUCAACAUGAUUGAUCGAAUUAUAGUGCCUAUAUUAUUGAUUUCGGUCACGAAGACCGUUUUCUUUUAUUUUCGGCCACAUAGGCCGAAAUUCAAAUCAAGGUGUUCAUGCUUCAACCAAUACCUUUUCGUAGAAGUGAUACUGGAUGUAUCAUGUAUGGAAUUCUCAAACUUGAAAUCCCAAAACUUGAAGCAUUAUUAUCCAUAAAAACUAAACUUUUCCAAUGCACAAGGCUUACAACAAAGUUGGAAAUCACUGAAGUCUUCAAUUCGUUAUGAGACAUUUUCAUAAAAACUAAAAAUAAAAAAUCUCCUUCUGAAUUUGAGAUCGAAAUGCUUUCUUCCUCCAAUUAAAAUUGAAAAUAUAUAUAGCCUUUUUAUCCAACAAACCGUGUCAGAUGGAAGAAUUGAACCAAGACUAGAAAUCUAGUCACGAGGCCUUGAAUUGAUUUCCAGAUUCUAAAUUCACAAUCGUCCAAUAAUUAAACAAGUUGAUUUAAUUUCACGAAAUCAAAAUCAAAUCAUCUGUGCAUGCGACACUUUGAAAAAUUUAGUUUUCACAAAACUUGUCCCACCAGGUGUGCCNNNNN
rnacentral:lncRNA from 1 species